rnacentral:rRNA from 1 species
AGCAGCCGCGGUAAUUCCAGCUCCAAUAGCGUAUAUUAAAGUUGCUGCAGUUAAAAAGCUCGUAGUUGAAUUUCGGGAUCAAUAUGUUGGUCGUGCCUUGGUACGUACUAGCUUAUUGAUUUCUUCCUUCUGAUGAACCAUGAUGUCAUUAAUUUGGUGUCAUGGGGAAUCAGGACUGUUACUUUGAAAAAUUAGAGUGUUUAAAGCAGGCUAACGCUUGAAUACAUUAGCAUGGAAUAAUGAAAUAGGACGUUUGAUUCUAUUUUGUUGGUUUCUAGGAUCGACGUAAUGAUUAAUAGGGAUAGUUGGGGGCAUUAGUAUUCAAUUGUCAGAGGUGGAAUUCUUGGAUUUAUUGAAGACUAACUACUGCGAAAGCAUUUGCCAAGGAUGUUUUCAUUAAUCAAGAACGAAAGUUAGGGGAUCGAAGACGAUCAGAUACCGUCGUAGUC